rnacentral:rRNA from 1 species
UACGUAGGGACCGAGCGUUGUCCGGAAUCAUUGGGCGUAAAGAGCGUGUAGGCGGCCAAUUAAGUCCUGCGUGAAAUCUCGGGGCUCAACCCCGAGCGGUCGUGGGAAACUGGUUGGCUAGAGUGCGGGAGAGGAGAGUGGAAUUCCUGGUGUAGCGGUGAAAUGCGCAGAUAUCGCUUGGAACGCCAACGGUGAAAACAGGUUGCUGGGGGUGUGCUGACGCUGAGACACGAAAGCCAGGGGAGCGAACGGG